GGGUAGAAAUAAAAAAAAUUAAAAGGAGCCAUUAAAUAAUAAGGGUCAUUCAGAUUUAAAAAAAUGCAGUAUAAGCAUUGCUUUGCUACGUAUACACAUGAUUUAGAUAUUGCCAAUUUAGUCCAAAUGCAAAUUAAGCUUACUAGUGAUCAGCCCGUGUAUCGCCACCUUUACUUAACUUUUAGAUGCCGGCAUUAUAAAAUAAUCUGAAGCUAGUCAUGCUUCACCAGUGGUCUUAUUAAGAAACAGAACGGCGACAGUAGGCUAUGCGUUGAUUAUCGUGCGUUAAACGCUAUGGUAAAAUAUAAAAGUAUCCACCGAACAGUACUUCACGAGUUUAGAUUUAGCCCAGGGCUACCAUAAAUUAAGCAUUGUGCCAGACACACAACUGCUUUCAUUACGCCGCAAGGUCAUUAUUUCGAGUACACUAGAACUCCUUUUGGUUUAGCAUAUGUGCCAUCUGUAUUCAUGGGUUUCUUCUUUUUGUCCACCUUAUUCCACUAGGUGGGGUAGUUAAAUGCGUUUAAUAAAUAAAAUAAUUGAGUCUGUGGGUAGAAAAGAAAUGGGUAAAAAUAAAUGUAAGUCAAAUCGAGAUACUAGCAAUUUGAAACGAUUUACCUCUACCCUCAGUUGGUAUAAAAUCAGGUUCAAUAAUUAUUGAGAAAGUACUUGGGAAAUUUUAUGGUGGAGACUUAAAAUUAAAUGAGUAAAUGCUCAUUCUUGGAGAAAAAAGUCACUUAUUUAGGUCAUGAAAUAUCUUCAGACGGUAUACAGCCAGGUGCAACAAAAAUUGACGGCCGUUUCGCAGUUUCCUGUGCCAAAUAAUGCUCAUAGUGUGCGACAGUUUAUUGGUUAUGUUACUUUAGAAAGUUUAUUCCCAGUUUUGCCGUGAUUGCGCUUCCAUUAACUGAGUUAAGAAAAAGAAAAAUCAUGGGUGUGGGGCCGUGAACAUAACGCGAAUUUCGAACAACUGAAAAACAGUUUAUGUUCCAAACCUAUGCUAGCUCUGUAUAAUCUUAUGCUUCUUACAGAAAUACAAACCGAUGCGUGUAACUUAGGAAUUUCUGGACUAUUACAAAAACAAACUGACAACUCACUACGGCCUGUUAUGUAUUUUAGCCGGGUUACUAGGAAGGAAGAGAGUGUGUAUCAUAGUUAAGAGCUCAAAACCUGGCGGUCGUACAAUCGCUUCGUAGGUUCCGUGUUUAUGAAGUAGGUAAACAUGAUAUAAUAGAAACUGAUUGUACUGUGGUUUGUGCUACGCUUACCAAACGCGACAUUAUACCACGCAUUGCGCGAUGGUGAGUUUUGAAAGAAGAUUUAGUGUUGAGUAUAGACCUGGUGAACGUAUGGAACAUUUGUAGACGCGCAUAAUAGGCAUCCUGUUGACAUGAUGAACGUGAAUCUUCUUAAAGUUACUGAUUCUGUACUGUGCAAUGUCAGGACGAAAAGCUUAGUUCGAUUAUAAAGCAAUCUAUACUAACAUUAUAAAGCUGAAGAGUUUGUUUGUUUGAACGCGCUAAUCUCAAGAACUGCUGGUCCGAUUUGAAAAAUUCUUUCAGUGUUAAAUAACCCAUUUAUUGAGAAAGGUUAUAGGCUAUAUAACGCUAAGACCGCUUAGACCAUCACUGUGUCACGCUAAGACCAAUACAAGCGAAGUACCAGUAAAGAAACACUGGUUAUUUUCCCUUUUGAGAGCUUCCGGUGCGUGCGCUGCAGAAACUUUUAAGGUUUCGCUAAAAUAAUGUGACAGAAUUGUUCUCCUUUAAAAGAUCUAAAAAAAAAAUGUCCGUGAUAGCAUAUGUCUAUAUGUUAAGGUUGGCUCACUAUAACGUUUUUUUAUGCUAACCAAAUUUGUUCUAAAAUAAAGCAUUAUUUGUGAACUAUAUUCCACGCGGACGAAGUCGCGCUGAUGUUAAAGAUAAUUAUGAACUAGUUCGAAAAUUUUUUAAGGGAAAUAGACUCGCAGUCCCUUUGGCUAAAUGGAAAAUUGUACGAAUGCACUAUGACGACAUUUGUCACGUGGAUCUAAAUCAUCGUUUAGCUUUGAUUAAAAGCCAAUAUUGGUUCUUAAAAUGACACGCUUUAUUAGGAAAUACGUGGCAGCAUGUCUUUAUUGUACACAUGAGAAGGAUAACUAUGUUAAAAAAAAGAAGACUGUCUAUAUCCGAUCUCUAAACCAUCUGAUACUAUGCGCAUGGUACAAAUAUAUAACAUGAUGCCCUUCUGUAGGACAUCUAAAGGGCACCAACCAGUACAUGAUCGUAAUGAAAGAUGCGUUGUCUAAAUUUGUGAUAGCUGAACUAACGCGUACUGUAAAUUCAAUCGGGACCAUUCGUGCAUUGAAAAAUAUAUUAAUAGGGUUUGUCCAGAUACCCGAAUCACGUGGUGACAGACUACGGGAAAGCUUUUACGAGUAGGUACUUUAAAAAAAUAUACCAGAAGAUAAACAGUUUAGGCAUACGUUAAACGGUAUUGCUUGUCCGCGCGCUAAUUGGCCAGGUUGAACAAACUAAACAUACAAUUUUAUGUGUUGCGGGCAACUGAUCCUAGUGAAGCUACAAAUAAUUUAGUGAACUCCGUCAAUUGAGGCACAAACAACACAAUUAAAAGUAACAGCGGCUACAAGCCUUGUGAUUUAAUCUUUGCGCGCUCUGGUAGGUCAAUAUGUGAUGUUUCGAUUCCUGGUCUCGAACCAGAAACUGUGGACGCACGGCGUAAGAUAGCUGCAGCUAGGGUAAAACAAGCGAGUACAAUAAUAACACACAACAUUAAUAUAAAAAAAAAGCUCAUGUUUAUAAGAAAAGGCAUUUUGUAUCGUAGAGACAGGCGCCAACUGGUUAGUAGCGCCGCUAGGAUUAAUACCAAAUUAGACGAUUUAUACUCAGGUCCGUAUGUAGUAACUAAAGUAGUAGGUAACAAUUGUUAUCGAAUUAGAAGUAUAUCUAAAAGGUUUACGAAGUUAUAAAAACUUCACUGGCCUGGUAUCAACAGAUUCAUUAAAGCCCUAUAAAAGUAUAGCCCAUGUGUCCGAUAGCGCUAGUAGUUCCGAUGAGCAGCUCAAAACUGAAGACCUUAUUGAUUUAUUUGAGAACUAAAUGUUUUUGUGUGUUCCCCAUUGCGGGAGCAAUUGUUGCAGGAUGGCCGAAUGUAACGGACGUGACGUCAGCUGUCAUGCCCUGCCGCCAGCCAAGCCGCCAAGCCAUAUUAACACGCCCCCUUCCGCCACAGCCACCGCCACCGCCACCGCCGCCAGCCAAAGCCAACGAAGGGGGGAUAGUGUUAAUAAAACAAGCCGUGCCAGCCAUUUCUACUACUUUUCUGCAUUCUUGCACAAAUAAAAGAACUUGUCGUUA